rnacentral:misc_RNA from 1 species
GAAAUGCGAUAAGUAGUGUGAAUUGCAGAAUUCAGUGAAUCAUCGAAUCUUUGAACGCACAUUGCGCCCCUUGGUAUUCCAUGGGGCAUGCCUGUUCGAGCGUCAUUUGUACCCUCAAGCUCUGCUUGGUGUUGGGUGUUUGUCCCCGUCUCCGCGCGUGGACUCGCCCCAAAGUGAUUGGCAGCCGGCGUACUGGUCCCGGAGCGCAGCACAUGUCGCGCAAACGAGUGCCUUGGUACGGCGGCGUCCAUAAGCCCCUCUCUCACGCUCUUAACCUCGGAUCAGGUAGGGAUACCCGCUGAACUUAAGC